AGUGGCGGACGGGUGAGUAACGCGUGGGUAACCUGCCUUAUACAGGGGGAUAACAGUCAGAAAUGACUGCUAAUACCGCAUAAGCGCACAGAGCUGCAUGGCUCGGUGUGAAAAACUCCGGUGGUAUAAGAUGGACCCGCGUUGGAUUAGCUAGUUGGUGAGGUAACAGCCCACCAAGGCGACGAUCCAUAGCCGGCCUGAGAGGGUGAACGGCCACAUUGGGACUGAGACACGGCCCAGACUCCUACGGGAGGCAGCAGUGGGGAAUAUUGCACAAUGGGGGAAACCCUGAUGCAGCGACGCCGCGUGAAGGAAGAAGUAUCUCGGUAUGUAAACUUCUAUCAGCAGGGAAGAAAAUGACGGUACCUGACUAAGAAGCCCCGGCUAACUACGUGCCAGCAGCCGCGGUAAUACGUAGGGGGCAAGCGUUAUCCGGAUUUACUGGGUGUAAAGGGAGCGUAGACGGAUGGACAAGUCUGAUGUGAAAGGCUGGGGCUCAACCCCGGGACUGCAUUGGAAACUGCCCGUCUUGAGUGCCGGAGAGGUAAGCGGAAUUCCUAGUGUAGCGGUGAAAUGCGUAGAUAUUAGGAGGAACAC
rnacentral:rRNA from 1 species